GCCCCCUGCCCGGCCCUGCCCGGCCCCGCCGGGGCGGAGCGAAGCGGCGCGGGGCGGCCCCGCCGCCUCCCCGGCCCCUCGCCCGCGGCGCCCAGCGAGCCUCUUCCGGGCGGCGGGCCAGGGGCGGCGCGGAGCCGGCAGCGCGGCGGGUGCGGGCAGUGUGUGGCAGCGGCACGGAUCCCAGGCCUGAAGGAAACAAGCCUCCCUGCUGGGGGAUCGCCUUUUCCAGGAGAGGAGCGCACAGAAUAACUUGGAGAGUUUUUGAAGAUGUCAGCAGAUAUACCCUUAAAUAUUAAUAUCAAGGAGCCCCGAUGGGACCAAAGCACUUUUGUUGGACGAGCCAGUCACUUCUUUACUGUAACAGACCCCCGGAAUAUUUUGUUAUCUGAUGCCCAGCUGGAAAACGCAAGAAAAAUUGUGCAUGAUUACAGACAAGGUAUCGUGGCACCUGGCUUGACAGAAGAUGACUUGUGGAGAGCAAAAUACAUCUAUGAUUCAGCCUUUCACCCAGACACUGGUGAAAAGAUGGUCUUGAUUGGCCGAAUGUCAGCUCAGGUACCCAUGAACAUGACUAUCACAGGUUGUAUGAUGACCUUUUAUAGAACGACACCAGCGGUGGUUUUCUGGCAGUGGAUUAACCAGUCCUUCAACGCUAUAGUCAAUUACACGAACAGGAGCGGUGAUGCCCCGAUUACUGUCAGCCAGCUGGGAACAGCCUACGUUUCUGCUACCACAGGUGCUGUUGCAACAGCUUUAGGACUUAACGCACUAACAAAGCACGUCUCACCUCUUAUAGGGCGGUUUGUUCCUUUUGCUGCUGUUGCUGCUGCUAACUGCAUUAAUAUUCCACUAAUGAGACAAAGGGAGCUCAAGUUUGGCAUCCCAGUCACGGAUGAGAACGGAAACAGACUGGGUGAAUCCACAAAAGCAGCUCAGCAGGCAAUUACCCAGGUGGUCAUAUCAAGGAUUCUUAUGGCUGCUCCUGGCAUGGCAAUUCCUCCCUUCAUAAUGAAUACGUUGGAAAAAAGAGCCUUUUUAAAGAUCAGCAAAAACGAGCGAUUUCGUCAGUGGCUACUCAGUGGUCUUUGGUACCAUCGUGACCGUUUAUGCUCACCCGUUCCUCCCCCUCAGCCUCAAAGACUGUGAGUUGAGGUGAAACACUGCUCUGCAGGUAGCCAGUGGUAACACCUGGUAGAGAUUAGUAUUAAAACCAUUGAGGAAUGAGCUGCAUUUUUAACAAGCAGCUUCUGCAUGUUCUCGUGAGGUCUGAGAAGCACCAUCCCAUUUGCAGUACUCCAGCACCAUCCACGCGACGCUUUACUAACUGAUUUUUCUUAAGCCUUUGCUUUGCACACCGUCACUCUGGAAAAUAAUUCUCGUACACUUGCCAAAGCCCAUUAAAGCAACACACAGGGCCAGAAAAUAGUCCAAUGGUAGUGAAAUAAUGAAGGAAAUAGACUGAUGUUCUGCAGUAAGAUAGAGAGAAAGAAAUGCUCCUGGAAUGCUGGCCUCGGCGAUAGCAGGCUGUCCGCCUCUGGGAUUUGAAAGAAGGUGUCGGAUAUGGAGCGCUGCUCAUCCCCCGUAUUCUGACAUCGUUUGGCAUGAGGACAUUUCGAUGGCAACGUUAGUAUGAAUUAACAAUAUUCCCAAAAGUUAUUGCUAGAAAAUGGCUGAAGAAUGUUUUUAGAACACGAGCACGUACUUGCUGCUUCAAAAAGAAUCUAAUUAUUUCUUGACUUGAAAAAGUAUUUUUUAUAUAUAUAUAUUUACGCGUGCUUUUGCUAUAGGUUUCAGUAGUGGCUUUUGCGGCCUUUUCUGCGAUUACACAGUGCUGCAGUUCUUGACCGGGCUGUCUGACGUCUGUGUUCGUUGUCCCUGCGGGCGCCCACCUCACCAGCUCUGUGCAGAACCAGGCGGUUCUGUCUGCUGCAGCAGAAGGGUCCGUAAACAACCGUGCUCUGAGGCGCAGCAUGUACAGAUUUAUUUUAGUUACAGGUAACCUCUCCUAAGGAAAUAAAUUGGGUUUUGCCAUAGAAACUUCUGAAAAUUUGAAUCGCACUGAAGUUUUAAUUUAUGACUCUCACAGCUUCAGCUGCUGUUUCUCUCCUGUUCUACGUACUGUAUUGAACAUUCAAGUUGAUUCCAGAAAUUUCCUCAUAUGUCCUUAAAACAAGCUCCUUGAGGUCUCUUAGUCUGCAACUAAAAUAUCUAUUCAAAACUGUUACAAAACCAGAACAGAGAGCCUUUUUUAUUUUUUUUUUAAAGCAUCAUUAUUGAAUGUCUUAUGCCUUAGAGUCCUCAGGGCAUUCCUAAUGUAACUGUCGUUUCAUUUAUUCAUUUUUUUUUAAAACAGGCAUAGCUAGUCUGGGAAUGCUGACAGAUUUUGAGAUCCAACAAUGAGAGGAAGCAGUUAGAAAAAAGCUCAUUCUCCUUAUGGCUUUUGUUUGCUUAAUUAUCAUUUCUCCAUUUUCUCUGUUUGCACUAACCACUAAAGACGCCAUAAAGACAUCUGGAACUUAAAUCCUAAUUCAUCGGGAACGGCCUUCUUCCGGAGUUAAACGAUAGAUCUCUAACACAGUAAAUUCUUCUGCUGUCUUGUGCUUUUCCGUUUUAUCUCUUCGUAGGGAUGUACAGCCUGCGUUUGGGUUUUGCUUUGUUGUUUUACACUGUUCCUGGCCGACUCCAAUUCCUCCUCUUGACCCCCAGCAUUAAGAGUUUUACCUCACCGUCUUUCUUGAUUAGUGCAGCCUGGGAACGUUCCUGAAAAAUAAAGGCUGUGACUCAGACCAAGGACCUUGGCAAAAACCGUUCCUCCACACGAAACUGAUGUUGCUUGUAUUGUCUGUGCUGGCAGACACCUCUCUGUCUCAGACUAAUGACCAACUCGGAUAAAGGCAUGAAACCAUCCGUUGCUCUCGUCACACUCUCCAACAGCCUUUUCAGUUAUAAAAUCAUAUUUGGGGCUUUUCCGUUACGUGUCUCGGGUCCCACACUCACACCGCAGUGCGUGGCGUCCCUUUCCCUUAAUUCUCCUUAGGGACAGGAGUCAUUUGCAGAGUUUGACUUGUGCUCCCCAAUAACACGCCGUAUUCACCAGUGCCGCAGUCCUGCCUGCCUUGCACGGUCAGUCACACCAGCUCUCCUCAUGACCUCUCCCAGUGUAUAAAAUUUAAGCCUUUUGAGUGAACUUAUCUCAGCGAAGAGUCAGACGAAUGUGUGUUCAGUGGAAUGCCAGAACGGCAAAGCGCUGCUGCAUUCACUUUAUCCUUCUUGCUAUUGCUGUCUGUUUCCGUUUGUUAUCUCUUGUUGCAGGUGAUUGCUGAGUUGCACAGUUCUUCCUACAUUAAUUUCUGGAUUACAGAUUGACUCCGGGAAAAAUAAAAAAAAAAGGAGAUAGAGAAGCAAUCUUCUACGUCGUUUCUUCUCCUUCAGGCUUUGGAGAAAGUUUAAUCUACACAAAACUGUUUUCCACGGCUCUUACGCUGCUGCGACCUUCCCUUAGCACCAAGCCUUGUCCCAUUGAGCUUUCUAAAUUUCCUUUUAUCAUUUCUGCUCUCCAAUACUGACGGUCUUGCGUUCGCCAGUUUCCCCCUAACUUCCGUGUCUUGACAAAUGCUUCUUGCAGAAAAACAUCGUCUUUGUUGAAAACAUCAUCCACUGUAACAUGUGAUUUUUAACUCAUUAGCUGUUUUGAUUUAAAAUCAACUUCUUGUUAGCACAGCAGUUGUGUAUGUCCUGCUCAAUGGAGACACCGAGUUUAUUGUAGCAACAGAGGCCGUUGCAGCAGUGUCAUUUAAACAGAGAUUUCCUUGGAUGAGUGCUCCAAUUCAAGUUGGAUUAGUCGGAUUCUGCCUUGUGUUUGCAACACCCCUGUGUUGUGCACUGUUUCCUCAAAAAAG